rnacentral:rRNA from 1 species
CAAUAGCGUAUAUUAAAGUUGUUGCAGUUAAAAAGCUCGUAGUUGGAUUUCUGGUUGAAGCGACCGGUCGGGCGUUGAUUCGUCUGCACUGGAGUCGGUUUUGGCCAUCCUCUAGGAAAGUGCGUCUGGUAUUAAGUUAUCGGGCGUAUGAUCCUGGUCUUUUACUGUGAAAAAAUUAGAGUGUUUAAAGCAGGCCUUCGCCUUGAAUACAUUAGCACGGAAUAAUAAGAUAGGACUUUGGUCUAUUUUGUUGGUUUGCAGACCGAAGUAAUGAUUAAUAGGGAUAGUUGGGGGUAUUUAUAUUCCGAUGUCAGAGGUGAAAUUCUUAGAUUUUCGGAAGAUAAACUUAUGCGAAAGCAUUUACCAAGGAUGUUUUCAUUAA